rnacentral:rRNA from 1 species
GACGAACGCUGGCGGCGUGCCUAAUACAUGCAAGUAGAACGCACAGUUUAUACCGUAGCUUGCUACACCAUAGACUGUGAGUUGCGAACGGGUGAGUAACGCGUAGGUAACCUGCCUGGUAGCGGGGGAUAACUAUUGGAAACGAUAGCUAAUACCGCAUAAUAUUAAUUAUUGCAUGAUAAUUAAUUGAAAGGUGCAAUUGCACCACUACCAGACGGACCUGCGUUGUAUUAGCUAGUAGGUGAGGUAACGGCUCACCUAGGCGACGAUACAUAGCCGACCUGAGAGGGUGAUCGGCCACACUGGGACUGAGACACGGCCCAGACUCCUACGGGAGGCAGCAGUAGGGAAUCUUCGGCAAUGGACGAAAGUCUGACCAAGCAACGCCGCGUGAGUGAAGAAGGUUUUCGGAUCGUAAAGCUCUGUUGUAAGAGAAGAACGGGUGUGAGAGUGGAAAGUUCACACUGUGACGGUAUCUUACCAGAAAGGGACGGCUAACUACGUG